AGUGAACGCUGGCGGCAGGCCUAACACAUGCAAGUCGAACGGCAGCACAGGAGAGCUUGCUCUCUGGGUGGCGAGUGGCGGACGGGUGAGGAAUAUAUCGGAAUCUACCCUUUCGUGGGGGAUAACGUAGGGAAACUUACGCUAAUACCGCAUACGAACUGAGGUUGAAAGCGGCGGACCGCAAGGCGUCGCGCGGAUGGAUGAGCCGAUAUCCGAUUAGCUAGUUGGCGGGGUAAAGGCCCACCAAGGCGACGAUCGGUAGCUGGUCUGAGAGGAUGAUCAGCCACACUGGAACGGAGACACGGUCCAGACUCCUACGGGAGGCAGCAGUGGGGAAUAUUGGACAAUGGGCGCAAGCCUGAUCCAGCCAUGCCGCGUGUGUGAAGAAGGCCUUCGGGUUGUAAAGCACUUUUGUUGGGAAAGAAAAGCGGUCGGUUAAUACCCGGUCGUUCUGACGGUACCCAAAGAAUAAGCACCGGCUAACUUCGUGCCAGCAGCCGCCGUAA
rnacentral:rRNA from 1 species